GUGAGGAAUAUUGGUCAAUGGACGCAAGUCUGAACCAGCCAUGUCGCGUGCAGGACGACGGCCCUAUGGGUUGUAAACUGCUUUUGUAUGGGAAGAAAGUUAGCUACGAGUAGCUAUUUGCCGGUACCAUACGAAUAAGGAUCGGCUAACUCCGUGCCAGCAGCCGCGGUAAUACGGAGGAUCCGAGCGUUAUCCGGAUUUAUUGGGUUUAAAGGGUGCGUAGGCGGACUGAUAAGUCAGUGGUGAAAUGCUGCAGCUUAACUGUAGAAUUGCCGUUGAUACUGUCAGUCUUGAGUACAGUUGAGGUAGGCGGAAUGUGGUGUGUAGCGGUGAAAUGCAUAGAUAUACCACAGAACACCGAUUGCGAAGGCAGCUUACUAAAGUGUCACUGACGCUGAUGCACGAAAGCGUGGGUAUCAAACAGGAUUAGAUACCCUGGUAGUCCACGCUGUAAACGAUGAUUACUGGUUGUUAGCGAUAUACCGUUAGUGACUGAGCGAAAGCAUUAAGUAAUCCACCUGGGGAGUACGUCGGCAACGAUGAAACUCAAAGGAAUUGACGGGGGCCCGCACAAGCGGAGGAACAUGUGGUUUAAUUCGAUGAUACGCGAGGAACCUUACCUGGGUUUAAAUGGGAAGUGACAGACUUGGAAACAGGUUUUUCUUCGGACACUUUUCAAGGUGCUGCAUGGUUGUCGUCAGCUCGUGCCGUGAGGUGUCGGGUUAAGUCCCAUAACGAGCGCAACCCCUAUCGGUAGUUACCAGCACAUAAUGGUGGGGACUCUGCCGAGACUGCCGGUGUAAACCGUGAGGAAGGUGGGGAUGACGUCAAAUCAGCACGGCCCUUACAUCCAGGGCUACACACGUGUUACAAUGGCCGGUACAAAGGGCAGCUACACAGCGAUGUGAUGCGAAUCUCAAAAACCGGUCUCAGUUCGGAUUGGAGUCUGCAACCCGACUCCAUGAAGCUGGAUUCGCUAGUAAUCGCGCAUCAGCCACGGCGCGGUGAAUACGUUCCCGGGCCUUGUACACACCGCCCGUCAAGCCAUGGGAGCCGGGGGUACCUGAAGUAUGUAACCGCAAGGAGCGUCCCUAGGGUAAAACUGGUGACUGGGGCUAAGUCGUAC
rnacentral:rRNA from 1 species